ACAUACAUUGGGUCGGAUUUUGGAUCAUUUAACCCCAAAAAUCUCAAAAUCGUAAAGUCCCAAAAUCAAAUCCCUAACUCUAAAUUUUUUCCCCUUUUCUCUAAAAAAAAAAACGACGAAUCGCCGUUCAUCUCUCCGCCGUCUUCUCUCGUCGCCGGCAAACCUUCUUUUCUUCCCUCUUCUCUCCGAAUCGAAACUCUCAUUCUUCUUCUCGUUGGAAAUUCUUUGUUAGAAAUCCAAUCCAAAUCCACGUUCCUCCGUCUCCUUUCUUAAGGAGAAGGAGAAGGAAAAAGAGAAGGAGAUGGAGCAAGAGCAGGCGAAGCAGAUGGAGCAAGAGCAGGCGAAGCAGAUGGAGCAAGAGAAGAGUUCGGCUCCUAUUUUGGUCUCUGAUGAUGAGUUCCGCUUGUAUUCUGGUCUCUGAUGUUGAUGUAUAAAUUUAAGUGUUUAGGUACAACUAGUACGAUUAGGUACAACUAUGUUUUGGGUUUAUGUUUUUUUGAUUA